GGCCAAGUCAUCACAGGCCU
rnacentral:snRNA from 1 species